rnacentral:rRNA from 1 species
CCCUUAGAUGUCCUGGGCCGCACGCGCGCUACACUGAUGAAUGCAACAAGUCUACCUUGGCCGAGAGGCCUGGGAAAUCUUUGAACGUUCAUCGUGAUAGGGAUUGAUCAUUGAAAUUAUUGAUCAUGAACGAGGAAUUCCUAGUAAACGCAGAUCAUCAGUCUGCAUUGAUUACGUCCCUGCCCUUUGUACACACCGCCCGUCGCACCUACCGAUUGAAUGGUCCGGUGAAGCCUCGGGAUUGUGAUGAGUCUCCUUUAUUGGGGAUUUGUCGCGAGAACUUGUCUAAACCUUAUCAUUUAGAGGAAGGUGAAGUCGUAACA